rnacentral:lncRNA from 1 species
CGGAGCUGGAGCGGAGCCGGGCGGCCCCAGCCCCGCGCUGCCCAGCGCCAGGUGUUGGCGUGGAUGCGUGCGAGAAGAGGAUGACAGGCGUGCGCGGCUGGUUGUACGCAAUUAGCACCUGCUAGAUGGGCAAAAGGCAAUUAUCGCCGGGAAGUGUUUACAUUGAUUUAUGGGAGGAAGGCGGCCCAGGAGAGGGAUGCUGAUAAUCUCAACGCAGUGGAUUAAAUGCACAUUUACACCUUUAUUGACGUAUAAAUUACCCGUGCCAGCAAUGCACUGAAGAGGCUGCUGAUGGAGCAAUAAUGUGGCACGAAGUACCGGGUCCGGAUUCAGCUCCGUCAUCCUUCUGUAAGGCACGGAAAGGGAACCCCACGCCUGAGCUGAAAUAGAAGAUAGAGGCUCACGGAGGGGCUGCCCGGUCAGAUAAUGAGCACUGAUGGCAGACAGGAACUGAGAAGGAUGACAAAAAGCAUGGACGAGGUCUGAAGGAGUCCGCUUGCUAUUUUUUUUUUUUUUAGUUACUUUUAGAUUUUUGUUGUUGUUCGUGCUAUGGAUUUUUAGGGAAAGCUGAGAGAGGCUGGAGGAGUAUGUGUAGCUGGGAAAUGGAACCUGGCUCUGAAUCCAGCCAACAUCAGAAAAGGAAGCCCGUGACACAUGGACUGGAAGAUCAAAAAAGGGCUCCCUUCAAGUACUGGAAGGCUGCAAUGAGGUCUCCCCGGAGCCCUCUCUUUUCCAAGCUGAACAAGCCCAGUUCCCUCCACCUUUCUGCAAAGGAGAGGUGCUCCAGCCCUCUGAUCAUCUUAGUGACCCUCCUCUGGACCUGUUCCAAGUCCUGUUCUCUUAUUUUUUCUUGUUUUAUUGAUACUCUUAUUGGUAUGGUAAUUCAAAAUAAACUUGGCUUACGGAUAUCUGCUGUAGGUACUGCAUUGUAAGCGUAAAUAGUGUUGGUUCUGUGGAGCCGUGGUCAUUAACUUCUCCCCGUUAUUGUAUGUUCAGCUCUGAGUGUUUUUAAUUCAAAAACAAUACUACGUGAAAAAUUUCUUUUAGAGCAUUAAUUUGUCACUAAAUAUUAACUGACCUAGCUGUGAAUUUUGAACGCCUGCCAUUCCAAAC